GGCUCAGGAUGAACGCUAGCUACAGGCUUAACACAUGGCAAGUCGAGGGGAAACGAUAUUGGAAGCUUGCUUCCGAUAGGCGUCGACCGGCGCACGGGUGAGUAACGCGUAUCCAACCUGCCCAUCACUUGGGGAUAACCUUGCGAAAGUAAGACUAAUACCCAAUGACGUCUCUAGAAGACAUCUGAAGGAGAUUAAAGAUUUAUCGGUGAUGGAUGGGGAUGCGUCUGAUUAGCUUGUUGGCGGGGUAACGGCCCACCAAGGCGACGAUCAGUAGGGGUUCUGAGAGGAAGGUCCCCCACAUUGGAACUGAGACACGGUCCAAACUCCUACGGGAGGCAGCAGUGAGGAAUAUUGGUCAAUGGGCGAGAGCCUGAACCAGCCAAGUAGCGUGCAGGAUGACGGCCCUAUGGGUUGUAAACUGCUUUUAUAAGGGAAUAAAGUGGGAGUCGUGACUCUUUUUGCAUGUACCUUAUGAAUAAGGACCGGCUAAUUCCGUG
rnacentral:rRNA from 1 species